AACUCCUAGUUGAGUGUGAAGACCUGAGGUAUCAGGGGUAGGGGUUGCUCUGCUUGUGUAAGUCCCAUAGUGUGAAGGCCAGAGAACCAAGAGAUGGUCAAGAAGAGAGACAAGACCAACCCCGCCUCUUCCUUCUCCUUCUCGACCUACUCAAAGUAAAGAUGAGGAUGAAGACCCUUAAGAUGAUCCACUCCCACUUAAUGAAUAAUGGUGAAUUGCACUCUGAAGAGCUUCCUAAGCUUGUAAGAAAGUGAUUCUGAAAAGCUCAACAUUUUGGUAGAAUGGAGAGAUUUGACAUUGCUUCUGCUCCAAAAGCAAAAGACUUGGGCCUGGCGUAAAGGAGAUGGGACUCACACCCAAGAGGAUGCAUUUCCAUACACCCAUUUCUGAAAUAUGAAGAGGUGUCCAGUCUGUUUGAUUCAUAGCUGCCUGUUCCACAACUGCAGAUACAGUAAUUGAUAACCGAGACCAAGUUCUCAUCCCCAUCUCCCAGGGCUGGAACUGGGGCUGUGUUUGGUUCUCAUAAGAUCAGUUCCAGUUUUAGAAACUGAGUAAAUUGUGGAGUAAAUAUUGCCAAGUGAUGGCUUUCUGCUGUAGGCGUGGGUCGCUGUUGGCCAUUUGCCUCAGCAUAUCACCAGCAAUGCACCUCAUUGCAUCACUGCAUUUCCAAUUACACCUCAAAGCACCACUGGUCCCCUGUCCACCCUCUGCCCUGCAGAGGUGGGUGUUCAGGGAGACAGAUCCAAAAUCUGGGCUCAGAAGAUGGAAAUGCCAACUGCUCUCAAUUUGAGAGUGGGGAUGAGACUUUUUGACUCAACUCUGGUUAAUUCAGCCAUGCUGUCAGAGCUGCUUUGAUGCAAGGACAUCUGAAUGCUAUCUGAAUGCUGCCCCUAAAAUAACAAAUUAAAAACAACAACAACAACAAAAA
rnacentral:lncRNA from 1 species